UAAAAACAAGCAAAUAAACGUUUAAAAAGGCAUGAAGAAAAUCAAGUGAUGCUUGAUAGUUUCUCCGUGCCUUUUUUUCUCUA
rnacentral:sRNA from 1 species